ACCUAUCCAACCUUUUCCACAUCAUCAGAAGAAGGAGGAGCAUCUAUUAUGUCAACAGUUACUUUGGGACCGGGCGAAAAUUACGGUAUAUAGGCCUAUAUCAAAAACAGUUACUUUUGCCCUACAGUUUGUAGGAAAAUAUCGCAGUCGUUUAUUCUUUUUCUUUUUAGGAGCGGUUGGUAGGCUAUAUAAUUGUACAGCUUAUGCUCUAUCCACGACAAUCGUCCCGUUAUCUAAUGAUUCCGGGCGCACGAACUGUGGAGCCCUUGGGUGAGGUUUCUAAAGUUUUUAUAGAUUGAAUUUCGAACUUCUAGAUCAACGCCAAGUCAUCCACCAUAAAGACGAGAUUCUUUAGGCUGGACCAGAUGCAGACGAGGGGCAUGCCUUUGCCGUGCUAGUGCCGCAGUCUGUGAUGACUUCAUCGGUGGUGUCUGGCUCUUCCGUGGGCAGCAGAUGGCUUGAAGGUGGGUUCCUCUUCCACCGCAAUUUGGCUUCCCUCUGUCCCAACCUACAGGCCAGGAACCGCAUCUCUCUUCCAGGACCAGUGGCUGGAGGAUCUGCAAGCAAGUGAUGGCAGAUGGAAACACCAUCAAAGCGAGAGAUGGCAUGGCACUGCAGAGGACCCGACACCAAAGCCCUGGUCUAUUGACCAAUCUUUCCUAACACGAUGACCAGCUCAAUCCAUUAUUGAGAUGAGUAGCUCAGCUAUUAAAAGUCAAAACACUAUUAACAAUUAAUCCAGUUCAUAGCAGUGAAAAUGUUUACACUAGUUGCCAUAAACAGAUUGUUUUUGAUCCGUUCUGACACGUACAAUAUUAGUCAUGAUUAUGGAAGUGCCAAAAGGUGAGCGCUAUCAGGACUAUGUAUGACCCUUGGAUUUGCUGCCAGGUUUAUAAUACACUGAUGUGGGAAAUAAAGUACUGUUUUGACCCUGAA